AAGUCGUAACAAGGUUUCCGUAGGUGAACCUGCGGAAGGAUCAUUAAUGAAUGAUAAUUUUUUGGGGUUUUCCCUGAAAAAUAAUUCACCUUUUGUGCAUUGUUAUUAGAUGUACUUUGGUUAGAGCUUUGAUGUCAUUUAUUGGAAUCAACUUCUUGCUGACUCUAUCCUAUUAUAUGGGACAGUUGGCUAUGAAGCGGCCUACCAAGGUUUUUUAUCAAACUCUUGUAUUUUGUCUGACCUAAAAUAUCAAUAAUUAAAUCAUAACUUUCAACAACGGAUCUCUUGGCUCUC
rnacentral:misc_RNA from 1 species